CUCAGGAGUCUUUCAGGGUUGUUUCAACCCUUCGCUCGCCACAAUCUUGAGGCUGUGAGAGAAAAAGUUUUGAGGAUCCUGAGGUCUAAAUGUGUGAAGUGCCCAAGAACUGACCCUGGACUCGUGGAAUAGAGCACCAGAUGAUAUUACCUGAAGGCUGCUUUGUGGUUAUGAGGUCUGAAGGGUAUUUAUCAUUGUUCUUCAUCUGAUGUUAUACUCAGUGCAACCAAGCUUCUUUAUUGCUGCCCUCUUCUGGAUGGCCCUGCACAAACCGCGUUGCCUCUAGGAGACAAAGGAGAAAGCCGCCCGCCCACCUAUGGAUGCUGAGCUCCUCCGUGAAUCCCAGCCUCGAGGCUGCCGGGCACAGAUGUUGCACAACCUUUCCAGUGGUAGACUGGAAAGGGGCCUCGGAGUGGCCUCUCCAACCCAUGGCUCCUGAUUUCCUUUCCUUGAUCCUCCCUGUAAAAUGGUUACCCUUCCCCUGCCCCAUGCUGAUACCUGGGGUAUUGCAUAUCUGUUACUGGAGGGCCAAGCUGGAGACCGGAUGCCCUCCACGUGCUUCCAGCCCAACCGGCCAGCCGCUUUCUUGUUCCUUGGAGAGGCUGUGGAAACGUUUGCCCUGUUAUUAAAGGCAUUGGUGAUUGGGAUGUGGGCACCGCUGGGAAAGUUAUUAAUUGGAGAGGGAUCAGAUGCUCUGGGGUGGGGGUUUCUCCUUUUGCUCUGACCUCCAUCCCUAGACUCCUGUGACUUUUCAUAGAGAAAUGAAAGAUGGACUAACAUGCCUUCUAUUUUAAGAUUCUUUAAAUAGCUGCUCUAUUUCCUGUUCAGGCCUUUUUUCUUUUUUCUUUUUGGUAUUAAAUAGAAGAAAGAAUAGAGUGUACCUGUUGUAUUUUACCUGAACAAGGGCUCAUUGGUUCAAUUUUGUUUGUUUUUUGGGGUUUUUUUUUUGGUCCCGGGGAUCCAACUCUGGACCUUGUGCUUGCUGGGCAGGCAGCGGAACCACUGAGCUAAAUCCCCGGCCCUCAUUGGUUCAUUUUUGAAAUCUCCUACUUCCUUUGUAUUAUGUUGCAUAUUGUUUAUGUUCAUAUAUGCCUUAACACUGAAAUGUGCAUUGAGUGAUGUAUUUAAUGUGGAGUAAUGUGGGGGGCCUUGCCCCCCCCCCCCCCCGCUGGAAUUCUUGAGUGCCUAUUACGGACAUGCCCGGGCUUGUUGCAGAUCUACCCGGCAACAAGGAAGUAGCCCCAGUACACUCCUCUUGCUCCUCCCCUCUCGCCCUACGGUAUAUAUGUUGUAGCAGCUUCCGCAAUAAACG
rnacentral:lncRNA from 1 species